AUUGAACGCUGGCGGCAUGCUUUACACAUGCAAGUCGAACGGUAACAGGCCGCAAGGUGCUGACGAGUGGCGAACGGGUGAGUAAUGCAUCGGAACGUGCCCAGUCGUGGGGGAUAACUGCUCGAAAGAGCAGCUAAUACCGCAUACGAUCUAUGGAUGAAAGCGGGGGACCGUAAGGCCUCGCGCGAUUGGAGCGGCCGAUGUCAGAUUAGGUAGUUGGUGGGGUAAAGGCUCACCAAGCCAACGAUCUGUAGCUGGUCUGAGAGGACGACCAGCCACACUGGGACUGAGACACGGCCCAGACUCCUACGGGAGGCAGCAGUGGGGAAUUUUGGACAAUGGGGACAACCCUGAUCCAGUAAUGCCGCGUGCAGGAAGAAGGCCUUCGGGUUGUAAACUGCUUUUGUACGGAACGAAACGGUCUGGGUUAAUACCCUGGGCUAAUGACGGUACCGUAAGAAUAAGCACCGGCUAACUACGUGCCAGCAGCCGCGGUAAGAC
rnacentral:rRNA from 1 species